rnacentral:pre_miRNA from 1 species
CAAAUUUAGGAGUUGAAGUUGUCAAGUUCAUCUUUGGAGGGUUUUCAAGGAUUGAUACGAAUCUAGGGUUGUUAGAUUCAAAUCUAUCCUUGAAAAGCCUCCAAAGAUGAACUUGACAACUUCAAUUCCUAGAUUU